rnacentral:rRNA from 1 species
AGGGUUCGAUUCUGGCUCAGGACGAACGCUGGUGGCGUGCCUAACACAUGCAAGUCGAGCGAGGAGAUCCUCGGGAUGAUCCUAGCGGCGGACGGGUGAGUAACACGUGGGCAACCUGCCUCAUAGAGAGGAAUAGCCUUCCGAAAGGGAGAUUAAUACCUCAUAACAUUGCAGUUUCGCAUGGAACAGCAAUUAAAGGAGUAAUCCGCUAUGAGAUGGGCCCGCGGCGCAUUAGCUAGUUGGUGAGGUAACGGCUCACCAAGGCGACGAUGCGUAGCCGACCUGAGAGGGUGAUCGGCCACAUUGGGACUGAGACACGGCCCAGACUCCUACGGGAGGCAGCAGUGGGGAAUAUUGCACAAUGGGGGAAACCCUGAUGCAAGCAACGCCGCGUGAGUGAUGACGGCCUUCGGGUUGUAAAGCUCUGUCUUCAGGGACGAUAAUGACGGUACCUGAGGAGGAAGCCACGGCUAACUACGUGCCAGCAGCCGC